rnacentral:rRNA from 1 species
GAUGAACGCUAGCGGUGUGCUUAACGCAUGCAAGUCGAACGAGAAGCUUGUUUUCGGAUGAGCGGAAAGUGGCGAACGGGUGAGUAACAUGUUGGUGACCUGCCCUUGAGAGGGGGACAACCAUUGGAAACGAUGGCUAAUACCCCAGAUGUUAACUUUUUUAGAAAGAGUUAACUAAAGUUCCGGCGCUCAGGGAGGGGCCAGCACCCCAUCAGCUAGUUGGUAAGGUAACGGCUUACCAAGGCGAAGACGGGUAGGGGACGUGAGAGCGUGAACCCCCACACUGGUACUGAUACACGGACCAGAUACCUACGGGUAGCAGCAGCGAGGAAUCUUGCGCAAUGGGCGAAAGCCUGACGCAGCAACACCGCGUGGAGGAUGAAGCAUUUCGGUGUGUAAACUCCUUUUAUGGGUGAAUAGAAAGGAAGGUAACCCAAGAAUAAGGUCCGGCUAACUACG